CACGUAGGGACCAAGCGUUGUCCGGAUUCAUUGGGUGUAAAGAGCUCGUAGGCGGUUCGAUAAGUCGGGUGUGAAACCUCCAGGCUCAACCUGGAGACGCCACCCGAUACUGUCGUGACUAGAGUCCAGUAGGGGAGCGUGGAAUUCCUGGUGUAGCGGUGAAAUGCGCAGAUAUCAGGAGGAACACCGGUGGCGAAGGCGGAUCUCUGGGCCUUACCUGACGCUGAGGCGCGAAAGCUAGGGGAGCAAACAGG
rnacentral:rRNA from 1 species